GCCAGAGAGCCAGCCUGUGGGGAUAAUGCUCCCGGAGAAGGAUUCUGCAGCAGUUCUCAAAGGCUAGACUUGAGUGGUAUUGCUGCAUAUGCGCUGAUUCUUCAGCUUGUCUCUAACCGAGGAAGCAUUGAUUGGGAGCUACUCAUUCAGAAAAUUAAAAGAAAGAAGCCAGAAAAUAUUAUCAACCCUUUGAGAACACGACACAACGAACUUUAUAUUUUACCACUUCCUUGAAUAGUUGCAGGAGAAAUAACAAGGCAUUGAAGAAUGGCAGAUGAACGGAAAGAUGAAGCAAAGGCACCUCACUGGACCUCAGCACCGCUAACAGAGGCAUCUGCACACUCACAUCCACCUGAGAUUAAGGAUCAAGGCGGAGCAGGGGAAGGACUUGUCCGAAGCGCCAAUGGAUUCCCAUACAGGGAGGAUGAAGAGGGUGCCUUUGGAGAGCAUGGGUCACAGGGCACCUAUUCAAAUACCAAAGAGAAUGGGAUCAACGGAGAGCUGACCUCAGCUGACAGAGAAACAGCAGAGGAGGUGUCUGCAAGGAUAGUUCAAGUAGUCACUGCUGAGGCUGUAGCAGUCCUGAAAGGUGAACAAGAGAAAGAAGCUCAACAUAAAGACCAGACUGCAGCUCUGCCUUUAGCUGAAGAAACAGCUAAUCUGCCUCCUUCUCC
rnacentral:lncRNA from 1 species